AUGGCGCCGGCGGCAUUGACGGCGUUGGACGCGAGGGCGCCACGGGCGGAGGGCCUGGCGACGGUGCUGGCCAUCGGCACGGCGGCACCGGACAACUGCGUGUACCAGGCCGACUACCCGGACUACUACUUCCGGGUCACCAACAGCGACCACCUCCCCGAGCUCAAGCAGAAGUUCAAGCAGAUAUGUGAGGGGUCCAUGAUCCGGAAGAGGCACAUGCACAUGACCGAGAAGCUGCUUGAGCAAAACCCCAGCAUGUGCGAGUUCAACGCCCCGUCACUGGACGUGCGCCAGGGCAUCCUCCUCACCGAUGUCCCCAAGCUCGGGAUGGCUGCGGCGCAGAAGGCAAUCAAGGAGUGGGGCCAACCGUUGUCGAAGAUCACACACCUUGUGUUCUGCACCCGGCAAUCCGUGGGCUUGCCGGGUGCCGACUACCAUCUCAUAAAGAUGCUUGGCCUCAACCCGUCGGUGAGGCGCGUCAUGUUGUACCUACAAGGCUGCUUCGCCGGCGCUACAGCGAUCCGUGUGGCAAAGGACAUUGCCGAGAACAACCAUGGAGCACGCGUCCUCAUCGUCUGCUCGGAGAUCACAGCCGCCACCUUCCGUGGCCCCUCAGCCACGGGGUCCCACCUUGAUAAUCUCGUCUCCCAGGCGCUCUUCGGUGACGGCGCCGCCGCGAUGGUUGUUGGUGCUGACCCCAAGGAGCCCAUGGAGAAGCCAAUUUUCCAGUUGGUCUCAACAAGCCAGACCAUCCUGCCCGAGUCGGAUGGUCUCAUCGAAGUAAACCUCUUGGAGGUUGGGCUCACCAUCCACAUCGACAAGGACGUGCCUAGGAUCAUCUCAAAAAAUAUUGAGCAUGCGUUGACCAACGCCUUUGCGCCACUCGGCAUCGAUGACUAG
rnacentral:rRNA from 1 species